CUGCCUGAGAUGAAGGAAAUGUGCUCUCACUCUUUGAAAAAAAUCUAGUGUCAUAAACCUGACCAUAAAUGUGGCAGGAGUCAUUUCAUACAUACUAGUUUCGUAAUUUUUAUAUUUAAUUUGCAGUAUUUGCUUUACUGACUUACUUGAGCUGUAUUAUCCUGUCACUCUCCAUUCUGCUGACUUGGUUGUGCCUUGCUGGCAAGUAGAGAGAGAAACGCAAAACCUCUUCUGAUGGGAGAAGAACUUUUGAAUGCUUUAUGGUCUUGGCUCCUGAUGCAGCUACAUUCGGCUCUCCUGCUCAGUUUCCUAUCUUAUUUCACAUCAGGAUAGUUUACCACUCUGCUUUUGUUAACGGCAGUUUCAAUAACAGACAGUUCAUUUAUCUU